AGCGAACGCUGGCGGCAGGCCUAACACAUGCAAGUCGAACGAACUCUUCGGAGUUAGUGGCGGACGGGUGAGUAACACGUUGGAACGUGCCUUUUGGUUCGGAAUAACUCAGGGAAACUUGUGCUAAUACCGAAUGUGCCCUUCGGGGGAAAGAUUUAUCGCCAUUAGAGCGGCCCGCGUCUGAUAGCUAGUUGGUGAGGUAACGGCUCACCAAGGCGACGAUCAGUAGCUGGUCUGAGAGGAUGACCAGCCACACUGGGACUGAGACACGGCCCAGACUCCUACGGGAGGGAGCAGUGGGGAAUCUUGCGCAAUGGGCGAAAGCCUGACGCAGCCAUGCCGCGUGAAUGAUGAAGGUCUUAGGAUUGUAAAAUUCUUUCACCGGGGACGAUAAUGACGGUACCCGGAGAAGAAGCCCCGGCUAACUUCGUG
rnacentral:rRNA from 1 species